AACGAACGCUGGCGGCAUGCCUAACACAUGCAAGUCGAACGAGACCUUCGGGUCUAGUUGCGCACGGGUGCGUAACGCGUGGGAACCUGCCCUUAGGUUCGGAAUAACUCCCCGAAAGGGGUGCUAAUACCGGAUAAUGUCUUCGGACCAAAGAUUUAUCGCCUUUGGAUGGGCCCGCGUUGGAUUAGCUGGUUGGUAGGGUAAAAGCCUACCAAGGCGACGAUCCAUAGCUGGUCGGAGAGGAUGAUCAGCCACACUGGGACUGAGACACGGCCCAGACUCCUACGGGAGGCAGGAGUGGGGAAUAUUGGACAAGGGGCGAAAGCCUGAUCCAGCAAUGCCGCGUGAGUGAUGAAGGCGUUAGGGUUGUAAAGCUCUUUUACCCGGGAUGAUAAUGACAGUACCGGGAGAAUAAGCUCCGGCUAACUCCGUG
rnacentral:rRNA from 1 species